CGCGUAGGCGGGCGAUCAAGUCCGGGGUGAAAUCUUUCGGCUCAACCGGAAAACUGCCUUGGAUACUGAUCGUCUUGAGGGAGGUAGGGGCAGGUGGAACUUCCGGUGGAGCGGUGAAAUGCGUUGAUAUCGGAAGGAACGCCGGUGGCGAAAGCGACUUGCUGGAUCUCUUCUGACGCUGAGGCGCGAAAGCUAGGGUAGCGAACG
rnacentral:rRNA from 1 species